rnacentral:rRNA from 1 species
UUGUACACACCGCCCGUCACACCAUGGGAGUGGGUUGCAAAAGAAGUAGGUAGCUUAACCUUCGGGAGGGCGCUUACCACUUUGUGAUUCAUGACUGGGUGAAGUCGUAACAAGGUAACCGUAGGGGAACCUGCGGUUGGAUCACUCCUUACCUUAAAGAA